rfam:Chryseobacterium solincola strain DSM 22468 contig02, whole genome shotgun sequence.
UUCUAGCCCUGAUUGCAGCGGCAUCCUUUUUUGACGAGGAACGAGGAGAAAAAGAUACAGCGGAAAGCAGGUUCCCGG